rnacentral:rRNA from 1 species
CUACGGGCGGCUGCAGUGGGGAAUAUUGGACAAUGGGCGAAAGCCUGAUCCAGCAAUACCGCGUGAAUGAUGAAGGCCCUAGGGUUGUAAAGUUCUUUUAAUAGGGAAGAUAAUGACGGUACCUAUAGAAAAAGCCCCGGCUAACUCCGUGCCAGCAGCCGCGGUAAGACGGAGGGGGCUAGCGUUAUUCGGAAUUACUGGGCGUAAAGGGCGCGUAGGCGGAUUAGUAAGUUGGGAGUGAAAGCCCGGGGCUUAACCUCGGAACUGCUUUCAAAACUGCUAGUCUUGAGUGAAGUAGGGGGUGAUGGAAUUCCUAGUGUAGAGGUGAAAUUCUUAGAUAUUAGGAGGAACACCGGUGGCGAAGGCGGUCACCUGGACUUCAACUGACGCUGAGGCGCGAAAGCGUGGGGAGCAAACAGGAUUAGAUACCCUCGUAGUC